AAAAACACCUUUGUCCAGUACUUAUUCAAUUCUGUGUAGUGGUCACAUUUCAAUAACGCAUGUAAAACUAAAAAAUAAUCUAGAGAGAAACAAAAGGGUUGUUUUGAGGACAAGCUCAAGUGAUCAGUUGCCAUUGUGGGCCUUGUUUUCCCAACUGAGUGUCUG